CGUACGACUAAAUUCUAUGUGUGGUAGCCCCCUGCAAUUUAGUUGUGGGGCACAAGAUGCGGUAGAAAUGGGAUGGGACGGGGUAGAAUUACCAAGCAAGCCAACAUCUACUUUGGGGGGUGCUGUGGCAUAAUAAAUAUGCAUUAUAACACAUGGUCCUGGAGACCCACAAAAGCACCAGUUUUCUAGUUCUUGUCCCAGCCAUGAAAUUUUCAGCUUAUUUAUUGACCUACUGUGAUUAGCCUUGCAUGAAGAAUCAAUGGAUGCUCGGCUGCUGCAGUCUGGUUGUUUCUGACAAAUUAAGAUAGCUUUAACAUGCGGGACUCCUUUGAACUUGAAAUUAUGUGCGAACAAAUCCUUUUCAUCAGAGAUAUUGUUAAAGCAAGACAUAUUGUCAGGGUUACCAGAACAAAAAUAAAAUUCAGAGGUCCGUUGAAUCAGACAUCCAACUCCUGCUAGAAAAUUUAAAAAAAAAAAAAAUUACUAAUGGUGGUCUCAGUACAAAUUUACAAGUUAUGAGGGAUUUCUUGUAAAAUUUUAAAAGUUUCUUUAGUAAAAAUAUGUAUGUAAUGCUAAAGUUUAGAGAUAUUCUGGGCAUCUUCACCAUGAUUGAUCUGGCUGCCUGUAAUCUUAUAAAUGGCCAUUCGGGGGGAUGGAAGUCCAUUAACUAAUUUACAGAAUCUGGGUGAUGUGUCCUUGCACAAAACAAAGGAGUGUGAAAGGAAUCUUAAAUGGCUUUGGCAGGGAAUGGAUGUGUGUGUGUUAUCCGCUGUGAUGCUGCACAUUCUCAAUCCAUACAGCACACACGCGCAUCUUUUAGGCCAAGAGGGAUUAAGCCUUUUUUUUUUAAAUUUAUUUUUGACAAAUGGGGGCUAACCAUGAAGCAAUGAGGCACAUAGGGUGAUCAUUAAGAAUGGCAUCUCGGAAGGUAGCUUUUAGGGAAAAGGAAGAAGGCACCUCCUUAUCUCCUUGUCCUUUUGAUGGACGUUUUGGAAUUUUGAAGCCACUUUCAACGGUGGGUGGGGCCUUUUACCUACAAGGCGGUGCUAAGAAGGGCUACUUUUUUUUUUUUUUGUAAUCUUCAACUCUCAUGAUCCCAUAAUUGUCACUCCAAUUAUGUUCUUGUUUGAUUCCUUAUUGUCAAUUAUGGAUCCGUAUCUUAAUCAUGCUAAACCAGUACAAAUAUGGGCAACUGGUUAGAAGCUGCCCUCUCUGUCUUGUAUAUGUAAACAGAUUCUGUUUUUAAUAUGUCAAAGAAGCAACCGCGCGCGGUUUUCAA